UUUAAAUUUGGCGGCAAGUUAAUCUGUAGGUGUGAGUGGAUGGAAAUAAAUUUCGAGCUGUCAAGAAUUUCGUGCGGCUUUGUUGUACUAGAUGUGAAGAAAAUUUUAAUUUCAUAAGUUGUACUUACAUGUGUCUUAUCAUCGGUGCCUUUCCUUGUUACUGAAAAGAGGACUACACAAAAACUGGACAUGGAAACGCAAGGUCGUUGUUAGGUUAUGUUUAUCACGAAGUGUUUAUAAGUUGGUAGUGGAGGAACAUUUAUUGACUAGGUUACAUUCCUGUUGAAAGGUAAUAAUAUUCAUUUGAACACAAACUAUCUUGGUUGAACAUAUAUUAAAGAGAAAGCAUCAAUAUCCGAGUGGCCUAUACGAGUUCUACCAUGCCGGGAACAGUAUGGAUCUGUACACAAUGAUGGAUGAACCACGUCGGCUUUUGGAUGAUAUAAAUUGUCUCGGGUAUUGGGAGACCACAAGGAUUUCGUCCUCUUCGACGGUUUAAUCGAGUUUGCUGUGCCAAAUGGGAGACGUACACGUCAGGUGUAGCGUGAUGCCGAUAUUCUAUUCAAGAUCUUUGACCCUUGCCGUUACAUAAUUCCUUUCUGAUAAUUUUGUUGUCCUAAAUUUUCUUUGUAGGACGAAUUUAUAACGAAAUAAAA